UCAAGGUUAACUAAAAAGGUGCAUUCAAUUGGAACUAAAAUGAUUGUCGCUUAAUACUGUUUGUAAAUUUUCACUCGGUAUGUUGGUCAAGUGGCAAACGAGCACGAGGGUCACCUGAUGGAAAGUGACUACCACCGCCCAUGGACAUCUGCAACACCGGGGGGCUUGCAGGUGCGUUGCCGGCCUUUCAGGAAAGAGUACGCUUUUUUCUUGAAGGUUCCUAAGUCUGGUUGUGCGAGGCAGAAAAUGUCUUAAAAAUCGCGCUGUUGUGGAUUUUCGGAC